UACGUAGGGCGAAAGCGUUGUCCGGAAUUAUUGGGCGUAAAGAGCUCGUAGGCGGUUUGUCGCGUCUGCUGUGAAAACCUAAGGCUCAACCUUGGGCUUGCAGUGGGUACGGGCAGACUAGAGUGCGGUAGGGGUGACUGGAAUUCCUGGUGUAGCGGUGGAAUGCGCAGAUAUCAGGAGGAACACCGAUGGCGAAGGCAGGUCACUGGUCCGCAACUGACGCUGAGGAGCGAAGGCCAGGGGAGCAAACGGG
rnacentral:rRNA from 1 species